UUAGCAUUAGGGUUGUAGUUGACUCCACUGAUGGUGUCAGUAUGCUGGUCUAGAGGGUUAGAGGUCAGGGGUUACCUGUUAGCAUUAGGGUUGUAGUUGACUCCACUGAUGGUGUCAGUAUGCUGAUCUAGAGGGUUAGAGGUCAGGGGUUACCUGUUAGCAUUAGGGUUGUAGUUGACUCCACUGAUGGUGUCAGUAUGCUGGUCUAGAGGGUUAGAGGUCAGGGGUUACCUGUUAGCAUUAGGGUUGUAGUUGACUCCACUGAUGGUGUCAGUAUGCUGGUCUAGAGGGUUAGAGGUCAGGGGUUACCUGUUAGCAUUAGGGUUGUAGUUGACUCCACUGAUGGUGUCAGUAUGCUGGUCUAGAGGGUUAGAGGUCAGGGGUUACCUGUUAGCAUUAGGGUUGUAGUUGACUCCACUGAUGGUGUCAGUAUGCUGGU